GGUGUGCAAAAGAGGGCAAGAGGAAGGAUGUUGUUUAUGGAUGUGACAAGUGUAUGGUACAUCUUUGUCAGGGUGCUUGUUUCCAAGCAUAUCAUGUGCAAAAUCAGCUUCCAGUUUUGUAAUGAAUGCAUAUGAUGAUCAAAGUUUGCAUAUUACAGUAUUCAUUGUUACUGUCAUUUGUAUCUUUAUUGUAUGUCACAUAAGUAACUGUAUUUUUUAUUUGUUAUAUUUCUCCUUUAGAAGCAAUUUACUUAUUAGAAAUUAAGAGAGAGAAAGAAAGAGAGAAAAAGAGAGCGAGAGAUUUUUGAUUAUAACUUCUAAUCUGAAAAUGUUAGAACAUAAUUUAGUGAUACCUGUAUUAUAUGGGAUAUACGGUAGUUGAUUGGCAAAUAAACAAGAAUGUAUUUUGAGGGUAAUUGCUGUCUUUGAAUGGAUUUUAUAAAAACGAAUUAUCAUAAACAUUUCAAGAUUUAGUACAUUCAUGUUAGGGUUACAUUUUACUAAAUAUUACAUGUACACAUGUAUAUAAACAUUUGAAUACUUUAGAUUUGGAGUCGCUGUGAAUUUCAAACACAUCAAUGUAUUUGUUAAUUUUUUGUUUACUAUCAUUAUACCAUAUCACAUUUUUUUUCUCAUCAAAUUUGUUUUAGUUGAAUGUAUCAAUGUCUGCAAAUUGUCCAUGAAAUACAGCAUUAUAAUCAUGAAUGUAUUUCAAAGGUUUCCUUUAUUACUUGAUAAUUAUUUGUCUGUCUUCUAAAGAAUUAAACUGGUAUAUCACUAUAUGCGUUUAGGCUCAUACAUUGACAUAAAUUUGAAUUAGUGCUGGUAUUUAAUGUGUGUGUAAUUGAUUCCAUUUACAUGUAGUUAAGAAGUAAUUUUUUUGCAUAUAAAGUGAUCACACCUAAUAUAGAAUUGAUUAGACUAGUGUAUACAAUGAACUAACAGUUUUUAUAGGUUUCCCAAUGUUAAUUCCUGCUUUGUUAGAUACGCUUACUUUGACUGUAUGAGCUUACUCUCCACAUGAAACCAUUGUCUAUUCUUGUCCAAGCUAAGAUACUUCAGAGGUUACCUUUGAUUUUUUGUGACAUGUAAACUGGUUUUCAAUAAAAUGUUGCCAUCUUCUUGCUAUUACCACCCUUUGUGUAAAGUUUGAUGGCUGGCAAACAGUGUGUUCUUG
rnacentral:sRNA from 1 species